UGUUUGUUCGUUAGGCAAUAAAAGUUUUAUUCUUUAACUUACCAGAAAUAAGCAACCGGAGUUAGUUUUCGUUUUUUGCUUGCGUUUUGUGUCGGAAAAAAAAUGAUUUUUGUUUGAUUCUUCCAAUUUUCAUAGUGAUUAAAAGUCACCUUAUCAAGAAUCUUUGGGCUGUUCAUUAGAAGCAUGUGGUGGACUAACAAUACAGAUCAUGAAAUCCACAACUAACCAUUAAAAUUAACUUUCUCUAUUACAUUAGAUCUGGAUGUCUGCCAAUCUUGAAUACUCUAUCUAAAAUUGAGGAUCUUCUUAGUAGUUUCUCUGGAUUUUCUUGAUUUUGAGUAGAAUUUUUUUUUUAAUAUUAAGAUAUCUCAGUCAAGAAUGUUUGGAUUUCGCAUUAAAUGUGUGUAGAAGAUUAGUCAUUGCCAUCAUCAAAUCCAAAAGAAACCAGCUCAUCUCUUGCACCACAUAAGACACUUGCUACAGUUACAAUGUUUAGUCAGAAGCGAAGAUUUUUUUAAUUGCAAUUUCAGACAUUGAUGCAUUUUAUGUAUAAUUUUAUUCAUAUUUUGGAAAAUUGUUCUCUGAAAUUAUUUUAAUGUUAACUUGAGAGUGUUAAAUAAAAAACAAAAGUAUGGUCCUUUUUUGGGUGAGAAAUGAUUGAAAAACCUGGACACAUUCAGAGAGUUCUGAAUUUUGCUAAAUUCUUCCAUAGUAAAUCUCAGUUUGUUACAUAUUUUAAAGAAAUUCCUAGAAGUUAAGAAUACUUCAUAAACACAUUAUAAAAAUAUAGUCAAUUUUGUUUUUCUAUUCAUUGAUCUAGUUUUUUUUAUAUUUAGGAUGGUAAACUGUAUUUUUAAAAUA